rnacentral:misc_RNA from 1 species
AAAGUCGUAACAAGGUUUCCGUAGGUGAACCUGCGGAAGGAUCAUUACAGAGAAAUUGCCCUUCAGGGUAGAUCUCCCACCCUUUGUUUACCUUACCUUUGUUGCUUUGGCAGGCCCGUCUUUCUGACCGCCGGCUUCGGCUGGUCCGCGCCUGCCAGAGGGACCCUAAACUCUUGAUUUUUUGUGUUGUCUGAGUUAUUACAAAAGUUAAAACUUUCAACAACGGAUCUCUUGGUUCUG